rnacentral:hammerhead_ribozyme from 1 species
GCACUGCUGAGGAGUCCCAUAAUAGGACGAAACGGCCGCCAAGUGC